CAGCCAGCUAGGGGAGGGGCACGCAAGUGGGAAGGCUAGAUCUAGGGCCCUGCUGCACAGUAAGAGACAAGAUGAGGAAGUUCUCCGGAAUUCUACAAGCAAUAUGCAAAUAGAAACGGUUACAAUGAUAAUCCUUUGCUUUUGCGGCGUCUUACAGUCUGCGUAGAGCUUCCCGUGCGGUAUCUCCUGAUCCUCGAAGCAUCCCUGGGACAAGUAAGGGCAGUUACACCCGAUUUAUAGAUGCGAAAACUGAGGUGCGGACAGCUCAAGUCCCAAAUCACCCAGGUAACAAAGGGGCUGAGCUGACAGAUGUCUCCAGGUCUUCUAACUCCAAAUAGAAUGUUCUGUUUACCACAUCAGGAUGCACCAGCAUUGCCUAAAACCACAGCUUUUAGCUGUGCAGAAAACCUUACUCCUUUUCAAUCCUUCCCUUUCCCCAGAUUUGUUGAUUGACAAAGGAGCUUCCCCAGGCUCUUUGUAACCAGCAGUGUUAGGGGGGUGGGGGGUAGGUGGGCAGAGUCUUUAUCUGGGCUGCAUCGUGGGCUCAGUCUCUGACCCACUCUGGGGCUGUAGGAGAGCUCCCAUCUCCCAAUUUCCUCUAAUUCCUCAUAUCUUUGAUGUUAAAGCCAUGCAGUGACCCUAAUCUAGGCAUUUCCAGGAAAAUGCACUCAGGUUCUUCUAGAAGGGCAGCGGCCCUUUGUGACAACAGGGAUUGCUGGGCGGGGCUGGCCUAUACAGAGAGGGAUCCACUGGCUCCUAGCUCUUUGCAUAUCUUCUCAGUGACCCCUGAUAACUGCAGCUCAGUGUCAGCACAGAGGAACAGCAUGUUACAUGCCCUGCCCACAGCCAUCACACGGCCUGGAAGGGGUCAGGCCCAAGGACCACCCUUGCCUUUUCCUUCACAGCACGGGUGGGAGAGGUGGAGACAGAGGCCCCCACCCCCAAAAGGCUUUAUCGGCACUCCAAGCCACCUCCUGGGCCUCCCAACUUUUCCUUCCCCCCGCCCCCCCAGUGAAUUCUGUGGAACAAAACACAUUCGGUUGAUAGCAGAAAUCAGACUCCCGCUUCUCAGACACCAUCAUCCUACGACAGCAGGGUCUGGGGCAGGGUUGCCUAGAAAUACACCUGUGUGAUUCACACCUGCGGGCAAAACGCCGUCUCUCUACAAGGCCCAUUUACACAAGCAGGUGUUUUAGGCUGACCUAACCCAUCUCAACGCGAACACAAUUAACGACUUGGCUCACCACAGUUUUCUGUUGGAACGUUGUGUGCCCUGUAGACCCUGUUCUCCCUUUCAGAGACCACCGGAUAUGGGAAAACUUGACUUUGCAAUGGGCAAACAAGAAGGUGAUUAAUCACCAGGCUGAAGGACUCACCCGAGACCGAGCUGUCACUCAUCACCCCCAAAUACAAUUACGAUGGCGUUCCUCUUCCCACACGGUUUGCAGAGCGCACGUAUCUAAUGGACUUGGGAACAUGGCUUGAGAGGCACAGCUAUUUCCUGCCUCCUGACUGCAAAUCCAGCACCAAUUCUAACCUGUUAGCCAGUUAGGCCGGCAAAGGAGAAGGCUGGUAUGGGGCAGUACGCUCCCCUCUGUGUUCCACAGAAAUGAAUGGAGAUGGGCCGAGCUAUGGUGAGCCCCCAUGCAUGCUGAUGCCCCCCUAUGUCAUGGGCAUCCAGGCCCCUCUGGCCUCACACCAGCCGGAACGUUCUUGUUGACAAGUCUCAGAGGGCUUGCCCUAUGUCCAUCGUGCCUCCUGCUUCCCCUCUGAUGCAACAGAGGACACCUAGCCUUCACACGGCCCCCCUGCCUCCAGGUAUAUCCAAGUCUAUCUGUCCUGGGUCUCCUGCCCACUGGCGCCUGGAGAGAAGACUGACUUGUAAAUCCGCUCUAAGGGGGCCAAGCAGGGGACACGCAGAUGGCUCCAAGAUUACCUCAGCACAACCUCCUCACGCCAUCCGCCGCCAUCUGCAAUUUGCUGACAAGGCAGAUAAACACCUACACGGAGAAGACCCACAAUAAAUCAAGGUGGCAUUUCAACCCACUGGGGACAAAAUAGACUUUUCAACUAAUUGUGUUGCGACAACUCAGGAAUCCUCGGGAAAAAAAUGUGAACCAUGUGUAGCAAGGAUCUGAACAAGAAAUUAAUAAAGAAGAAACUGUGGAAAGAGCUAGAAGAAAAAUGCAGGAGAAUGUUUGCAUUAAUCUUGAAAUAAGAAGGACUUUCAAAGCAUGACCCAAAUCCAAAUGUCACGUUUUGGUUUUUUUUUAAAGGCUACAUCUGGGUUCAAAAUUUUUAAGUACCUAACACCAGAAAGUAACGUACAUUCAGAAGAUAAAUGAAAAAAUAGGGGGGAAAAUAUUUGCAACAUAUAUGGCAGACAUGGGGCUAAUUUCCUUGCUACAUAAAUAAUGUGCAUGUGCCCAAUAGAGAAAUGUACAAUAAAGAGGAAAUUAAAUUGUCA